rnacentral:tRNA from 1 species
CAAAUUACAGCUUAGAGCUAUUUGUUAUUUACAUUAAUAAAUUUAUUGUGCGAUUCAAUAUAAUUUGA